rnacentral:rRNA from 1 species
AUUGAACGCUGGCGGCAUGCUUUACACAUGCAAGUCGAACGGUAACAGGUCUUCGGAUGCUGACGAGUGGCGAACGGGUGAGUAAUGCAUCGGAACGUGCCCAGUCGUGGGGGAUAACGCAGCGAAAGCUGUGCUAAUACCGCAUACGAUCUAUGGAUGAAAGCGGGGGAUCGCAAGACCUCGCGCGAUUGGAGCGGCCGAUGUCAGAUUAGCUAGUUGGUGGGGUAAAGGCCCACCAAGGCGACGAUCUGUAGCUGGUCUGAGAGGACGACCAGCCACACUGGGACUGAGACACGGCCCAGACUCCUACGGGAGGCAGCAGUGGGGAAUUUUGGACAAUGGGCGCAAGCCUGAUCCAGCAAUGCCGCGUGCAGGAAGAAGGGCCUUCGGGUUGUAAACUGCUUUUGUACGGUAACGAAAAGGUCUGGGUUAAUACCCUGGGCUCAUGACGGUACCGUAAGAAUAAGCACCGGCUAACUACGUGCCAG